UGUCCUAAGCUGUUUGGGGUUGGAGGGAAGAGGGGUGAAGUAGAAAAGCAACAAGCUAAUACAAGAGGAGAAAAAGUAGAUGAGACACAUCAAGAAAUUCUCACGAUAAACAGAUGAAGGGGUGGAAAUGAGUCAGUCCAGCAGCUUACCAAGUAUCACUGACAAGAGGAGAGGAUGCAUCCUGUGUAAAUACUGGGGUUCUUGUCUCAGAAGCACAGGGUAUCAUGGAAAUUGGAGUUGAAAGCUGGGGAACUGAUGGAACAUCUCCAUGAGGAGCAACUAACUGGAGCCAUGGGUGUAAAAGAAGUAUUUUGGCUGGAUGCGGUGGCUCACGCCUGUAAUACCAGCACUUUGGGAGGCCAAGGCAGGUGGAUCACGAGGUCAGAAGAUCGAGACCAUCCUGGCUAACAUGAUCAACAGGAUGAGGAUGCAGGAGCACAGGGAUGAAGAGUGUCUGGGUCCUGAUGACAUCACUGGAAGACUGCACCAGCCUGAGAACUGCUAUGUCUAAACUUCUUAGAUGAAAUAAUACCGAUUUAAAAACUUUAUUAUUUAAGAAAACAAAAACAAAACAGAUGUAGAAAAAUUCAGAGUUCUAUAUCAAGUUACAGCUAUCAUUCAAACAUGAGAGCAGAAUAAAGGAAUAUUUAAAUACAAAACAAUACAAAAAUUU